UAUAUAUUGGUGUAAAGGGCACGAAAAAUUUUGAUUUUUUAGGAAAUAGUGUAAAUCUGUUAUGUAUAA
rnacentral:tRNA from 1 species